CAACACCAACCCAGUCGCGUUUUGGCGUUCACUCGAUUAAGUAGCGCUCGCGCUGCAGACAUGCUAGGUGCAGAUGUCAUAAUCAGUGUCAUUUUCCGAGCGGAAGUGCGCCCCAAGAGCUCUCAAUCGGCGCGUUACGGCGCGCUCGAUCGUUUGAUGCCCGUUGGGACCCCCGAAGCCCAGGAAAAGUGCCCUAAAAACGAGUGCGAAAGUGAACAUUUUCACUGGUUGGUUGGCAAAUGAAAAACCAAGAUGGCGGCGACGGGCGCACGUAGUCAGCGCCUUGGACUACAUAACACCACACAGCAUUUAAUUAUCUUGAACAGCCCCACAAUCCAAUCGACGAAAAAAACAUCGACCUAACAACGACCGUAACGCUCUUUGUUGGUCGAAAAUAAGGAACAAUUUAUGAAACGAAACGGCAUCACUUGCUUUUUCGUCAACGAUGAACUGUCAUUUCAUACAAAACAACAGAGCAUACAACUGGGAAUCUUCAGCAAAACAAUCCUUGAGAGAUUAACAAGACAGCCCGGGAGUGGGAGGAGUUCAUGGCGAUCGCUUCGCCAGAAUCUCAGCGGAACUCGAAAUGUGCCUCGCGGAGGCACUCGCUGUUGAUGGAGAAAAAUUUCGACGCGAGCUCGAUGGACGAUGAAAAUGCUGCCACUUAUGAGAGCCUGGAGGGAGAUUCAGUGCUAGCGUUGGCGCAAAUUAUGCGGCGAACCAUCAUUGUCAUGUCGGAUGAGUUUUUGCGCGAUAUGAGCGGGGAAGCCUUUUCGCCGAUUCCGUUUGGUAGUGUCUAUCGUUCGAGGUGCCGUCAAAUAAGUGCCAUCGGACCCCGUUGCUGUUUGGUCUACGAUAUGGCCCAUUUUUCGGCCCUGGUUGCUAUGGAAACUUCGAAUGAUUUUCCUCCGGCGUUCAUUUCACUGGUGGAUCCCAGCAGUCAGCUGUUGCUUAUUUAGUUUUGCAUCGAUUCGGGAAAAGAUUUUGAUUGGUGGGAGUAUGACGGCAGUAAUGCGAACUGGUUGUUGACGGAUGGAGAGCAUGUGGCGUUGCUGAAAGUAUACUUGGAGAUAAUUUACGCACCAGUCGCGGGCAGUCCGGAUGAUGAGAUUUAUGACGAUUACUCGGACGAGGAGUAUGAGAAGAAAAUCGCCGACGGGGAGGUUGUAUUUUCGGACGAGAAUUAUAACAGCGAAACGAGUGCAUCUAAUCUAGCCGCAAUAAGUACUUCUAAUUAGUCACUUCCACCAUUCCCACCCAGUUCGAGAAGCGGUGGUGGGUUGAGCGGAAAAAGUAAAGUCGCGAAGCAUCUGCAAAGUGUGGUAAAGCGUGUAAGGCAUUGUAACAUCCGUUGGAAUAAUCCGACUUUUUUGCUUCCAUCAACUGCAGCCAACAGCAUCAGCUUUCCCGCAACAGUAUCCUCCAAGCCCUGGUGGCUAUCCCGGGGGACAGCAUCAACAGCAGCCGGACUUGACCAUCGAUAGUAUUUCGAGCAAUUUUCCCUAUCGGAGAUCCCGUGCUUCGUGCUCAUUGAAUAAUAUAUGCGAAUAUGCAUUGCGCCACAUAUGUGAGAAAAGUUCUCAGCUGGAUGUCGAAUAGUUUAUAUUUCAUAUGCAUUUUUAAAUUUUUUAAAUAAAAUGAUUAAAAUCGA